UACGGGGGGGGGUAAGCGUUGUUCGGAAUUACUGGGCGUAAAGGGCUCGUAGGCGGCCAACUAAGUCAUACGUGAAAUCCCUCAGCUUAACUGGGGAACUGCGUGUGAUACUGGAUGGCUUGGAUUUGGGAGAGGGAUGCGGAAUUCCAGGUGUAGCGGUGAAAUGCGUAGAUAUCUGGAGGAACACCGGUGGCGAAGGCGGCGAUCCUGGACCAAUACUGACGCUGAGGAGCGAAAGCCAGGGGAGCAAACGGG
rnacentral:rRNA from 1 species